rnacentral:lncRNA from 1 species
AACAGGGUUUAUAUUAUUAGUAUUAUUAAUGUCAAGGUUACUAAUGUCUAAAUUAGCAAACAUAUCAGAUAAUUGGUCAAUAUGGUUUUCGUUAUUAUCCUCAGAAUAAUCUUCAUGGGACAUAACUGUGAUAUUAAGACCUUUUAACUUUUGUUCUAAAAUACGAACAAAUUCUUGACCAUUGGUUUCCAUUUUAAAUC